AAGAAGAAGAAGAAGGAAGAAAAAAAUAGAAGAAUCGUGAAAAAAUCGUUCCAACGAAUGAUGUACCAGUACGUUCCGAUAUCUCGUUUGCGGAAUAAUAUCCGUUUUGUUGCGAGAACCUACGUGUGCUUGGUUUAGCUAGUUCUAGCUAGGUAGCUAGGUAGCUAGCUAGCUUGCGCUUGGUUGGUUAGUUGGUUGGUUGGUUGGUUGGUUGGUUGGUGCUCGAGAACGAAGUAGACGUUCCUAUGCAACGUGUACUGUAGAUUAUAAUGGAGGUAUAAUGAGUUUUCUUCUCGAGCAUUGUUUUGCCCGGAGUAAUUUCGUCCCCGGUAUCUCGCACGGUAACCUCCGUCUGUACGUACGUCCGUCUAUCUGCACGUACGUACGUACGUACGUACGUAGAUACGUAACGUACAUACGUCCCUUUUGCUUUUCGCACAAAUAGACGAGCCGCGACGCGAGACGACGCAACGCGAAGCAAAGAAGAAAGCAAGUCGUGGUAUGCGUGAGUAUUAGAUGUGCGCGUAGCUCGUGUGCGCGUGCUCGUACGUGGGCGUGUGCUCUAGCGCACGUUUGUGAUCUCGUACGUUCUACGUUCGUACGUUUCGUUACGUACGUAGAAACGUAGAUCGUACGUACGUUCUAACUAACACAUAGCAAACCAGGAACACAGCCGUGUGCCGUUGGAAUUAAAGCCACCACCGCGGAUAUACCUAAUGAGUAAUGCAGGUAAGAUUUUGAACUAGGGAUUUACGGAGCUAAGGAAAUGAGAGGAAAGAAAGGGGAGGAAAAAAUGAAAAGAUUGUGGAUUAUAAGAAAGAAAGAGAUAUAUACGAUCGUAAAUACCAAAGUGAUCAUCAAUCAAAGAAGAAGAAGAAGAAGAAGAAGAA